rnacentral:rRNA from 1 species
GAUGAACGCUGGCGGCGUGCCUAAUACAUGCAAGUCGAGCGAACAGAUGAGGAGCUUGCUCCUCUGACGUUAGCGGCGGACGGGUGAGUAACACGUGGAUAACCUACCUAUAAGACUGGGAUAACUUCGGGAAACCGGAGCUAAUACCGGAUAAUAUAUUGAACCGCAUGGUUCAAUAGUGAAAGACGGUUUUGCUGUCACUUAUAGAUGGAUCCGGGCCGCUUUCGCUAGUUGGUAAGGUAACGGCUUACCAAGGCAACGAUGCGUAGCCGACCUGAGAGAGUGAUAGCCCGCACGAGAGCUUGGCCACGGUCAAGGCGCCUACGGGAGGCAGCAGUAGGGAACGUGACGCAGUAGGCGAAAACCUGACGGAGCAACGCCACGUGAGUGAUGAAAGUCUUCGGAUCGUAAAACUCUGUUAUUAGGGAAGAACAAAUGUGUAAGUAACUAUGCACGUCUUGACGGUAACUAAUCAGAAAGCAACGGCUAACUACGUG